rnacentral:rRNA from 1 species
GACGCAGGCUGCUUACUAAGUCGGGCGUGAAAGCCCCGGGCUCAACCUGGGAAUUGCGUUCGAUACUGGUAGGCUUGAGAUCGGGAGAGGGAAGCGGAAUUCCUGGUGUAGAGGUGAUAUUCGUUGAUAUCAGGAGGAACACCGGCGGCGAAGGCGGCUUCCUGGCCCGAUACUGACGCUCAUGUCCGAAAGCGUGGGGAGCAAACA